UCUAUGUAUAAAAUGAAAUACUCCCGAAAUUGCGUUUUACUAACAGAUUGUCAAGUAACGGGGACGUUGAUGAAAGAACGUUGUGACGUUGAACACAACCCAGGACCCGACCAAGGUACAGAAUCGAACUCUGGCAGUCAGUGCCAAGCGACUCUGCAGUAAAGGCUUUUGUUAGCCCAGGCCUUGACAUCGCCUAAAGAGAAUUCUAUCAGGAGGUGAAAGGAAACAAGCAGAGCACACAAUGGAGCUACAAACCAUGGUAUCCGUGAUUUCCUGUGCACCAUUAGUUCAUACGGACAACGCUUGUGAACCCUUAUUGGAAUCGAUACAAAAUGAAGAAACAACCGAUGUUCACACGUUGAACAAAUGUGAAGAGGAUCAAACAUCACUUUCGCCGU